rnacentral:rRNA from 1 species
UACGUAGGGGGCAAGCGUUGUCCGGAAUCAUUGGGCGUAAAGCGCGCGUAGGCGGCCCUGUAAGUCCGUUGUGAAAGUCAAAGGCUCAACCUUUGGAAGCCGAUGGAUACUGCAGGGCUAGAGUCCGGAAGAGGCGAGUGGAAUUCCUGGUGUAGCGGUGGAAUGCGCAGAUAUCAGGAGGAACACCAAUAGCGAAGGCAGCUCGCUGGGACGGUACUGACGCUAAGGCGCGAAAGCGUGGGGAGCGAACAGG